rnacentral:rRNA from 1 species
GUUGCCGGCCAUAGGGUGUGGGACCCACCUGAUCCCAUUCCGAACUCAGAAGUUAAACCACGCUCCGUUUCCGGUGUUAGUGUGGUCUUCGGCCAUGUGAAGCCGGGAAAGCUGGCAAUC